rnacentral:misc_RNA from 1 species
GAUGAAGAACGCAGCGAAAUGCGAUAUGUAGUGUGAAUUGCAGAAUUCAGUGAAUCAUCGAAUCUUUGAACGCACAUUGCGCUCUCUGGUAUUCCGGGGAGCAUGCUCGUUUCAGAAUCAUCACAAUCUCAAAAGCUGCUUUGGGUUCUGCUCAAGACAACUUUUGAAUUUUGGACUUUCUUUUUGCAUCUCGGUGCAAAUGGUCUGAAAAUGAUUGUGUGCACGUCUCACCUUCUGGUAGAUGUCUCAAGUGCAACAGAUGUAAUUGCAUUAGUGGCCACUUGAAGUGUUUACCAAUGGAUGGUGUUGUUCUGUGCUACCAACCAACUUUUACAGGUCCUGAAGGUGAAUGCCAGAUGGAUUCCUGAAGACUUGGUCUGAAAUCGAGCAAGAAAACCCGCUGAACUUAAGCAUAUCAAUAAGCGGAGGA